rnacentral:lncRNA from 1 species
UGUUCUCACUCUGUCCUGCCGCCCUGUGAAGAAGAUGCCUGCUUCUCCUUUGCCUUCUGCCAUGAUUAUAAGUUUCCUGAGGCCUCUGCAGCAAUUCGGAACUGGCACACAGUGAAUCCCAGCCUUCCUUGCAGAUAGGCAUGACCAGGUCCCUGAGUUCUGGCCAGUAGAACAUGGAAAGAGUCACCAAAUGCCCGCCAUUCAAGCCUGGACUGUCAACGCAUCCUGAGGAAUCCUCCCCUCACUCUCUCCCUCCACCUGCUGGCUGGAUGCAGGGGGCUCAGCAGAGGCCUCUGAGCCCAGGGGCCCCACAUGUCCCACAAGGCUUAAACAAAAGAAAACCACAAACGCAGUCAAUCACAGAGUUAUUUUAUUUAAUGUUAUAAGAAGUAACAACCAUCAACAUUGAUGGGCAAUGGAAAACUUUGAGGGAUGGAAUCCUCAGCUUUAGAACGAAAAAUUAUUUUGGAAGUUUGUGUAUUUAUUUUACAGACAAGGGUCUUGCUAGGCUGCCCAGGGUGGAGUGUGGUGGCUAUUCACAGGAAUAAUCACAGAACACUACAGUCUAGAGCUCUGAACCCAAGUAAUCCUCCUACCUCAGCCUCCUGAGUAGCUGGGACUACAGGUACCUCCACCGCUGCACCCGGCUGAAUUCUCAGCUUUAUGUGACAAUGGAAGGGGUAGAAAGGUCACCUGUGAAGAACAGAGCAUUUAGAGUGGACAGCCCGGGCACUCAAGAUCUGGCUCCUGCACUCAUUGGCUGCAUAAAUCUGGGCCAUUACCAAAUUCCUACAAAACCUUAGUUUCCUUGUUUGUAAAAUGAGAAUAAUAACAAGACUAACAUCAUAGGGUCAAACAUUCAUUCAAUAAAUAUUUAUUGAACAUCUAUUAGGUACAAGGGACCAUCCUUGUUUUGGAGAGUUCAGUAUGACGAAGACAGAAUGUGGAGCUUACAGAAUGAGAGAAGGCCCAAGAAGUGCCUGGCAAACCCAAAGCACUCUACAAGCCUAAGCUGAUAUAGUAUAAAGAACAUUACCCAUCUCCCCAAAUCAUUACCCCAGACCUGCUGUAGUAACCCAGGGUUUCAGGUAUGUGGCCAUCUGAAAAUGAUCCACAAACUCAGAGCCAGAUUAGGAUGAGGAGAGAAGGGCACACUCAUCCCAGGAGCAUCACUUAAGGGGGCACCGAAAACUCUAAUUAAGAUAAACAGGACAGGCUCAGGGACUUGUGCCUGUAAUCCCAAUACUUUGAGAGGCCAAGGUGGGAGGAUUGCUUGAAGCCAGAAGUUCUAGGCCAGCCUGGGCAACAAAGUGAGACCUCUGUCUCUGCAAAAAAAUUAAAAAUUAGCCAGGUGUGCUGGUGCAUGCGCCUCCUGUCCCACCUACUUGGGAGGCUAAGGAGAGAGGAUCACUUGAGCCAAGGAGUUUGAGGCUGCAGUGAGGUAUGGUUGUGCCCACAGCACUCCAGCCUGGGUAGCAGAGUGAGAUUCUGUCUCUAAGAAAAAAAAGAUAAAUAAUAUCUUAAUGCAUAUAUUACAGCAGUGUCUGUUCCCUCACUGAUAUAAAGAACUGCCUGAGACUGGGUUAUUUUAAACGAAAGAGGUUUAAGUGACUCACAGUGCCACAUGGCUAGAGAGGCCUCAGGAAACUUACAAUCAUGGUGGAAGGUGAACGUGAAGCAAGGACCUUCUUCACAUGAUGACAGGAGAGAGAAGUGCAAUCAGGGGAAAGGCCAGUCACUUAUAAAACCAUCAGAUCUCGUGAGAACUCAAUCCUAUCAUGAUGCAAUCACCUCCUCCCUCCUCCCUUGACAUGAGGGGAUUACAUUCAAGAUGAGAUUUGGGUGGGGACACAGAGCCAAACCAUAUCAAUGCAACAUUAUAAACAUAUGCAAGGGAAUCCAUAAUGAACAAAAUAUCUAAAGUUUAAAUAAAGACAGGCUCAGUAUGACUGAAUUUUCCUUUUGCCUCAGAAUCCAAGAUAGUUUGCUGCACAAACUCAAAUCCACAAGGCCAAGUGCACGAUCUCUAUUCCUGGGCACACAUUAUGCUUUGCUAGAGCACUUCCACAUUUUCUUUCUUCUUUCUGAAGCAGGACUGUGAGGGAAAAUGCUACUUGCUAAGCAUAUGUUCAGAAACUGCCUUUUCCAUCUUGCCUCUUCAGAUGUUUCAGAAAUGGGGUUUUUGUUUUGUUUUGCUUUUUAACAUUCACCAGAACACAAAGCAGAGAGCUCCCAAUUGUUAUUGGAAGGACGUAGGGAAGUAAAAACAAACACAUAAUUAAAAUAGCACCCCGUCAAGGUCUAGAUUCCCAGCCUCAGAGGCGAAGGUCUGUGGGCCAGGGCAGGGUGCACUCAGGGACCUCGAAAGCAGAGGCGAAAUGAACCCAGAAUUCAGAUCUAAAGCAACAGACCCUUUUCCCGUCAGGCCCCAGGCCUCGGCUGGAUCUCUCUCUCCCCUCUGAAACAUACACACACUCAUAUUGGGUAUUUAAUCAUCUGUAUUUGCCAGGAAACUGCAGUCUUCCUUUCAGGCUGUUAAUACAAUAAAAAUCAAAAUGAUUCAUGUCA